rnacentral:rRNA from 1 species
UACGUAGGGGGCAAGCGUUCUCCGGAUUUACUGGGUGUAAAGGGAGCGCAGGCGGCAGGAUGAGUCUGAUGUGAAAACCCGCGGCUCAACCACGGGAUUGCAUUGGAAACUGUCCAGCUAGAGUGUCGGAGAGGUAAGCGGAAUUCCUAGUGUAGCGGUGAAAUGCGUAGAUAUUAGGAGGAACACCAGUGGCGAAGGCGGCUUACUGGACGAUGACUGACGCUGAGGCUCGAAAGCGUGGGGAGCAAACAGG